GGGCGGGCGCUCGGGCUCCCGGAGCCGGCUCGGUGGGGCUCGCGCGCCCGCGGCCGCCAGGGGCAGCAGAGAGGCACCUGCAGUCCGCGCCCGCCCGCCCGCCGGGGCCGCCCGCCUGCCGGGGAGGGGCAGCGCGGACGGGCGAGCGCCGCGUGCGGGAGAGCGAAGGCUGCAGCGCGCCCGGCAGCCGGGAUGCAGCGGCGCCGCCCAAGCCUGGGGCGCAGGGGUCGGGGCACACGGGGAUAGGCCCGACGCGGGGCCGAAGGAAGGGUGGUCUUUCCCGCAGAGUUGCCGCUGGAGGACCGAAAGUUUUGCAGGCAGCCCUUGCUUCCAGCUUGUCGCUCUCUCCCCGCGUCCCUGUCGCCCAACGCGAGGCGCCCCCGCUGGGGUCCCGACGGCUUGGUGGGGAGGAGCCGUGAGGGGUUGCGCCCCCCACCCCCACCCGAGCCAGGGAAGGGACCCUGGUGACCUCGCCUCCCAGCCCUCACCCCCGUCACCCCUUUCUUCUCUUUCCUGGAGGACUUUGGACCAUGGAGAUUCUGCAGUUGUUGCUCUAGGAGCUGAAACCAGUGGGUAGAUGUCGUUCUGAAACGCAGCAGAGUCUGUCAAGUGGAGGUUACUACACAGGACCUUGAAGAGAGUCUGACAGCCCAAAUAUUAUUUCCUUCUAUUUGGGAUGAUUUUACUCCACAGUACGGUAAAUUGUGGGCUAGAAUCUAAAAGUGAUUUAGCAUCUCUACAAAAGAAGACUUCACAGGCAUUGCCACAUUUAAUUGAUAACAGAGUAUGUCUACAUUGUUGCA
rnacentral:lncRNA from 1 species